CUUGUUCCUCCAGUAUCUGGGAUCAACAUUAUUGAUUCUAAAUGGGUGUUUAAAGUCAAGAGGCAUGCUGAUGGCUCCAUUGAACGCUACAAAGCAAGGCUAGUUGCUAAGGGUUUCAAACAGAGGUAUGGUCUUGAUUAUGCAGACACAUUCAGUCCAGUUAUCAAGCCCACUACUAUUCGUUUGCUGUUGUCCCUUGCUGUUACUCGAGGAUGGUUCCUUCGUCAACUUGAUGUGCAGAAUGCUUUCUUGCAUGGAGUUUUGGAGGAGGAGGUUUAUAUGCGACAGCCGCCAGGGUUUGUGGAUCCUGAUCGUCCUCACCAUCUCUGUCGUCUUGUCAAGGCGCUAUAUGGGCUCAAACAGGCUCCCCGUGCAUGGCAUGCACGUCUUGGCUCUGUUCUGCGGGCGCUUGGUUUUAUUCCCUCCAUUGCUGACACAUCACUGUUUCUUCUUCAGCGACCUGAGGUUACGAUGUACUUGCUGGUCUAUGUUGAUGAUAUCAUCCUCAUCAGUUCCUCAGAUGCUGCUGCUGAUCGUCUUGUGGCUGCUUUGAGUGGUGAUUUUGCUGUCAAGGACCUUGGUGCUCUACACUUCUUCCUUGGCCUGGAGGUUUCACGGUCUUCUGCUGGGUUAACUCUU
rnacentral:rRNA from 1 species